CUCAGCGAGGCCGAGGGGAGAAGCUUGUACUGCACAGGCACAGGAAUCAGACGACGGAGGGAAUCAAGUGAGAAGUGUUGCCGUAAACACAACGAUAACACUCCGAGAUCCUCGCAGGAGACGUGAGGGAGGGACCGAGGACCUGUGCUGUGGGAGUGUUAAUGCGUUUAUCAACGUCUUGGAGAUUCUGUGGAAAAUUACAUGUGGAUUUCACAUUCAACCUGACGAGGGAGAUGGCUAGCCACCCAUGACCCCGAUCUCUGCCUUGACCCAAGGAGUUGGAUCAAGAUCACCUUUUAUCCGGAGGAGCUCAUACAUUCUUCCAUCUCCAUCACUGGGUGUCACACUCCAGUAUGAUAGUAGUACCAUAAUGAUCUUUUCCACUUGACUUUUGACUUAGAAAGUACAUUUGUCAACUGAAACUGACUUGACUGACUAUUUUUGACUUAGAAAAACCAAACGGAUCACAAUAAAAGAUCAAGACUAAAUUGAACAGUUUAUAACAGAAGGAACAAAACUGAACGUAAAUAACAAAAACCAGUAGAAAUGUGUUAUUUUAUGUUGUCAGGGACACUUAGUUUCAUCUUUGGAUUGUUUUCAGAUGAUGUUAUCUUGUGAAACAUUGAAGUAACUGUGUUCUAACUCACUGGCUCUAAUUACACAUUAGUUACAGUGGUAGUAGACUGUACUUAGACACUAAGGAGGGGAUGACAGUGCAAACUUCAUAAUACAGCCCGGUUCUCCGUAGUUAGCAUGUACCUCCAGGAGAGCUAGAGUCUACUUACACACUAAGGAGGGGAUA